rnacentral:lncRNA from 1 species
AAAAAUCUAAGUCAUAUACACAAAGUGAAAGUCUUGAGCAAAUAUUUCCAGUUAAUAAAUAUAUUUGUCAGUACAAUAUCACAUGAUUUGUAAAAUUAAUUUAACUCCAGAAAAAAAUAUCAUCCAUUUUUGUACAGGUUAAUAUCUGUGCGGUAAAAUGACUUUAUAAAUAAAAUACUAACCAUCCAUGACCCUCAAUGGUUGUCUAGGACAUUAAACAUCUCCUAGUAAGAUGUCUGAAUAAUUUUCUUAAUCAACAAAAAAUAUUUGGAUUUCUAGUAAAACAAAGAAUUGGACAUUUUGGAUUUUCUAAAAGUCGACUUGUGAUAGUAAAAAUAAAAAAAAGUUAACUUUUCUCUCCAAAAUGUCUUAAGUACAUAAAAGAAGAAUAUUUGGGCUAAACAAGGAAUGCAACCAACUAAUCACAAAUUGUUUCGAAGGAUAUCAAUUCUUCACUCAAAAAAGUGUAAAAUAUAUCUUUAUACACUUAAAUAUAUAUACUAAUACAUGUAGUCUGUUGGUUUGAAUGUUACAUGGAAAACAUUAGAGCUGCAUAUAAAUUAUAAAUCAUAUCCCAUAUAUAUUUUCAUUACUGCAUCCCAUUUGCGUAAAAAAAACAAAAUACAACACUUUAUAAAUUAAAUGCAUCUUAAGUGCUUUUCUUGGAUGACAUUUAUAAGGAACACUCAAAAACCAAUAUAU